UACGUAGGGGCAAGCGUUGUCCGGAUUUAUUGGGCGUAAAGAGCUCGUAGGCGGUUUGUCGCGUCUGCUGUGAAAACUCGGGCUUAACCCCGGGCCUGCAGUGGGUACGGGCAGACUAGAGUGCGGUAGGGGAGACUGGAAUUCCUGGUGUAGCGGUGAAAUGCGCAGAUAUCAGGAGGAACACCGGUGGCGAAGGCGGGUCUCUGGGCCGUAACUGACGCUGAGGAGCGAAAGCGUGGGGAGCGAACAGG
rnacentral:rRNA from 1 species